rnacentral:snoRNA from 1 species
GUGCCUUAGGGUUGAACUAGUCCCGGAUAUUUAAUCAUUCCCACCAACUUCACAUUCUCAGUGAAGUUUUUCCUUGUUGUCUUAUCUGAUAAUUCAAGAUGGAAAUAUA